UCUGUUUUAUGGAUGAGUGGAGGAAGCGAAAGAGUAGGAAACGUGUUACAUUCGGUCCAUCGAACGUAUCGUUGCGUAUUGUAUUUGUAUGUACGUAUGUAAUUAGCAUGCGGUGUGAGCAUGGGAGACGGUUUACAUUUCAAAAUGUGCUAUCCUUUUUUUUCUAUACUAUCACUGUUAUUCUUCAUAAUUAUUUUGUCCAUCAAUACAAGGCUAAGUAAAUGCGAUAACACAAAUGGUAACAAUGUUAUCGGAAGUUCGUUGCAUUGAAUGACAAAUUACGGAGCAAGGUUCGUGAUAUGAAAACAAUGAAUUUUUACAAUGUUGCAAUUGCAGAUAAGAUCUUUCUAGGCUUAAACUAAUCUGUUGUCGUCAAGUCGAACGAAAACAACGAUCGCCACAAGCGCCACGACUGUUGCACGUGUCAAGCCCAGCAUUGCACUAGUAGCCUCUCCUGCAAUUGUGUGAUACCUUGCGGAUAUGAAUUCUGUACCGCAGGCAACAACAGAUGACUGGACUGAUUGUGACAACAAACUAUCCGUUCCGGGAUUGUUGUUUUUUUUUUGAGUGUGCGUGUAUUGGAAAACGUUUUAUCCGGUUCAGCUUACUCACCGAGCGACCACGGUUUCGCACAAACGAUCGAUGGAGACAUUCAAGGCAACGGCACGGUCUCGAUAAGUAGCUUAUGCUUAUAAUUACUAAGAUAUUAGUAGAGUACUCUACACUCACUACACUGCACGAAAUAAGUUUUUUUUAAUUAUGUCACAAA